AAUGGGCGGAAGCCUGAACCAGCCAUGCCGCGUGCAGGAAGAAUGCCCUACGGGUUGUAAACUGCUUUUCCCCGGGAAGAAUAGGGCACCUGCGGGGGUCGAUGCCGGUACCGGGGGAAUAAGGAUCGGCUAACUCCGUGCCAGCAGCCGCGGUAAUACGGAGGAUCCUAGCGUUAUCCGGAUUUANUGGGUUUAAAGGGUGCGUAGGCGGCGAUAUAAGUCAGUGGUGAAAUAUUUCGGCUUAACCGAGAGACUGCCAUUGAUACUGUGUUGCUAGAAUAUGGUUGCUGUGAGUGGAAUGUGUGGUGUAGCCGUGAAAUGCUUAGAUAUCACACAGAAUAUCGAUUGCGAAGGCAGCUCGCAAAGCCAUUAUUGACGCUGAGGCACGAAAGUGUGGGGAUCAAA
rnacentral:rRNA from 1 species